UACGUAGGGUGCAAGCGUUGUCCGGAAUCAUUGGGCGUAAAGCGCGCGUAGGCGGCCCGGUAAGUCCGUUGUGGAAGUCAAAGGCUCAACCUUUGAACGCCGAUGGAUACUGCCGUGCUUGAGGACUGGAGAGGAGACUGGAAUUUACGGUGUAGCGGUGAAAUGCGUAGAUAUCGUAAGGAAGACCAGUGGCGAAGGCGGGUCUCUGGACAGUUCCUGACGCUGAGGCACGAAGGUCAGGGGAGCAAACGGGG
rnacentral:rRNA from 1 species